AGGGUUUCCGCCCUUUAGUGCUGCAGCAAACGCAUUAAGCACUCCGCCUGGGGAGUACGGUCGCAAGACUGAAACUCAAAGGAAUUGACGGGGGCCCGCACAAGCGGUGGAGCAUGUGGUUUAAUUCGAAGCAACGCGAAGAACCUUACCAGGUCUUGACAUCCUCUGACACCCCUAGAGAUAGGGCUUCCCCUUCGGGGGCAGAGUGACAGGUGGUGCAUGGUUGUCGUCAGCUCGUGUCGUGAGAUGUUGGGUUAAGUCCCGCAACGAGCGCAACCCUUGAUCUUAGUUGCCAGCAUUCAGUUGGGCACUCUAAGGUGACUGCCGGUGACAAACCGGAGGAAGGUGGGGAUGACGUCAAAUCAUCAUGCCCCUUAUGACCUGGGCUACACACGUGCUACAAUGG
rnacentral:rRNA from 2 species